rnacentral:lncRNA from 1 species
GCUGGAGACCAGCUUCCUCCAGAGAUGUAACUCAACCUUUCCGAGGUGCGUGGAGCACACAAACAAGUCGCCACAAUCAAUCGUCUGGUGCCGAUAGACGGGGGCAAACCUUGAUGAGGGGUGUGUUUGUGUGUGUGGUGGGGGAUCACAACAAUUGGUUAGCAUGGUCCCGACUAUGCCAACCGUACGAAAAGCGGGAGGGUAUCCGGGGUUCUCCCGGGAUACUACCGAGCAUCCAUUCCACUGUUAGAUCACAACGUCGAUUGACUCACGUGCCGGUCGUGGUUCCAUCCAGGAACUUAUCCACGACGACAUGAUGUAUGACGUGGAAGCUCACGUCAACACCUUCCUCCCCCGUACCCCUCAUCAGCUUGCCAGCGUUGGACGCGACGAUGCCUAGCGUGUAGACGGCUUCUGUGCAGGCGUCCCAUCCAGUGCAAGGUUCAGAUAGCACAGUCUCGGAACGCACCACGAAUCAGUCGAGCAAUUCGCACCAUCCAACAACUGAACGGGGGAUUUAAGCGAAGGAUGCCUCAUAUUAUUGUGCAUCUGUCCCUUACUCAUACAUUGAAUUUCAGCUCUAUCCAGAUAAAUCUUUGCAGUGAUCCGCUUGGGGUCUGGUGCUAUAACUGAAAAUGGCUUUGAGGGUUGUGUUUGGCAUUCUAUUGCUGGUGUUGGUGGCGCAGCAGGCCGCAGCGGGGGGAAGCGGAGGCAAGGAGCGCCGCUGGCCCAAGGAGUUGAAGGAGGAUUUUCAGGUACAUAUGAAGAUCGGUAAAUAGGAAAUAGGUAAAUAGGUAGGUAGGAAGGUAAGGUUGGUGUACCCAACCUUUACCACUUGACCCGGUCGCCUCACUCAUUCGCCAUUCCAUGCCCCCUAGGACACACACACCAUCACCCUAAAAAAACACAUGCACGACGCAACCGGGGCCCCACAUGUUCAUGCGUUGCAGUUUGAGCUCCGCAACAUCUACAGCAACCGGCAGAACGGCAGUCGCUACAAUUUCCUCACCAAGUACCGCUAUCCCAGCAGCUCUGGUGGGUGCAGUACAUUCGUAGGGAACUGUAGCAGUCGCUCACCUGGCGGGUCGACUGACUUAGCGGAAGCGUAGAGUUGACCUCACCGAGGCAGGAAGAAGUCCAACCCAGCGGCAAGCACUAGCGUACAUAGACGUGUACGAAACAAUCAGGGACGGCGGCAGCGGGGUCUUGAACUCCGAACACCUAGUAAUGUGAUACGUCAAUGUCCGGCCAGAGCACCCCGCCCGGGUAGCUUAUAUCUCGGCCUACCUGCCGGAGAUUCCCUACCACGGUCUUGCCGUACUAGGAUAAUGUUGGUGGGGCCCGGGGCCCCAGCCCGUUAGGUUCGCUUACGAACAACCGCCAUGUUCGAUACAUGUGACGAAGCUCGUAACAUGUACGAAACUUGAGACGAAUCGUUAACGAAUUAACAGUUAUUGUUAAAAGUAUUUGUUGAAAUAUUCUAAGGGAAAUGUAGCUUGCUACAGGAAUGAUAAAGCCGUACGGACCAGGCAGGGGGCCACAUUUCGCUCCAUUCGGAGGCAGUGGUGCUGCGCGCCGUGCUGUGCGGCGCUAUGCAAUGGAAUGCUUUGCCUCAUUCGUUGUGCUGCGCUGUGUUGUGCUUGUCUACUGCAGAGGCAUUCGAUUUCCAUGAGGCGGAAGAGAUUAUCCUGAAGUUCGUGCCUGCCGGUGGCAUGGGCAUCCCAGGCAACGCAUUCACUGAAGUCCUUUCCCUCGCCAUCGCUAAGGCGCUCUGGGCGAAGUUUAACCUUGUCGGCUUGAGCUUCCGCAUCGAGGUGCAGGUGUGUGUGUGGCCCUGUGUGCGGGUGAUGGCGGCUAAUGUGAGGCCGCCACAUCAGCCCCCGAUGAUAAGGUUCAGCUAUGUUUACCUAGGGCGAACGAGACCUCGAGAUGCAAAUGCACAGGAUCGACUACUUACGAUUUCAAACCAAGCAGGACGAUAUGGAUUGAACGGGCGUAGCUGGGACUCGCCAUGCCGCGUGCCGUACCGUGGUACGGCAGAUUGCGCGCAUCUGUGUCCUCGCUUAUAUGUUUGUAGUACGACACCGGAAUCUGGUUGUUUCUGGUCAUUGAUGCCAGGGGUCGCGGCUGCGGCCGCAGUGCCCACACUACCCACCCAAGCUGACCGCCUUUCUUCAAUGCCAUUCAAACAUGUAACCGGCGCCAGCUGGUUCGCCCACCUUCAUUUGCAUACGUUUUUGGCCUUUCUGGCUCGGUGCGAGUUUUGUACUUGUACAUACAUGCAGGGUAUGUCAUCGGACGUCCGGAGUCACUAUGCCUCCACCGUCACCGUGGGAGAUAUCGAACCUUGGGUCUCCCUCGUCAACAACUUCCCCGGCUGUGACGGAAUGGAUACGGACGAGGGCAACAAGGCCUGCCGCGUCUAUCCCAUUUUGAACGGCAAGGACCGCGACCUGGCUGCAACUGCUGCUAAGAAGGCUGGCAAGCACGACAAGCCCAAGUACUGCGAUUUCUGCGGCUAAUCGCAUGUCACACAUACGCAUGGUGGUGAUCCUUGGUUAUCUACUAUAGCAGUACAUCAAGACGUGUUGAACGAUUUGUGGAAGGACAUGUCUUCAAGGGUGUGAGGCUUAAAUUUGUAUGAUCAGCCGCAUGUGCAUUAUUAUGUUCUAUAUGUGUGAUCAUAGGCAAGCAUGUGUACGGCGGUAGGGGUAUUACACAUGACGAAAGUCAGUAGAGCAUCAUAUACAUGGGUAAGGAGGCACGGGGGACACAGUUCAGUUACUAUCGGCUCACCUGCAUGGGUUUACCUGCACUAGGUGGGUAGAGCUGGAGUCUAAGCACAGUGAUGUGGUCAUCAGUGAGUUUGCUCUGGCACCAGCGACAACCUCGUGGCCCGUAAAAGUCCGUUUAAUGGCUGGAGAUUACCACAGCUGCCUGAUCUCCGAGAUGGGAGUCCCACAAGCUGAACAUAACUCCGCUUGGCUACCAAAGCAGCCAGGGCAAGAAUCGCUGUUACUAUCCUUUCCAGCGCACCGAGUUGCUCGUAGGUUUAGUCGUAGCCGAGCUUGCUGAGGUGUUGUGCGUGCCGGUACGGACCGCUUGUCCUUCCUUUCCAGGCCUGUGUCGAUUACAGCGACAGGCGACGUGCCCUUUGGCUCGGUUUCUUUGCAUUACAGUAUAGAACCUUGGCAGCCCGAUGUAAUAACAACAACAAUAACAACAUAAUAACAACAGCCGGGUCAAAAGCCUGGCCAGGGGAUGAAGCUGAGUAAUGCAGUCACGUACGUGACAAGCAAAUCGUGUCUCUGUUAUCGCAGAUGGUAAUCAUAAUAAUUAUUAUUAUGAUAACGAAGGAAACAGUAACCAAGAUGAUAUUAGAUAUGGAUGGUUUGCUACGCCCCCUUGACACCCUCCCCACCUUUUCCCGCUGAUACUGUCGUUCGCGCAUACUGUCGUUCGCGCAUCCGAUGGCAUCCCCGCCGUGACCGCAGCAGGCAAUGCAGCAGACCGUCGUUCAACGAAGUCCAGGAAGUUGCAUGUUUGUUUUUACUGGUGCCUCGGCUUUGGAGAGUAGUGAGGUAGUGCACUUAGAAUAGUGAGGUAGCGCACUUAGGAGAAUGACGACGCCUCCUAUAUAUAGCCAACACAACUGAAAAAGGGUGAAACUGACUUUGGAGGCUAAUAGAAGGAAAGGUCCUGAUGAGGCAUCAACUGCAAGGAAUUUGAACCAGGGAAGGUUUGGGCAGCGUAAGCCGAAGUAUGAACUGCCAGCAAAAGGAAGGUGCUGCGUUCUGGCCAGUUGGAUGGCAAGAUGUGAAAUCCGGCCGUCGUCGGCUGUCGUCAAGCCGGCUACAGCCAUGUGCAGCAGUAAUGUGCAGUUAGUCCUGCGGCGUGCACGUAGGCUGAACUGCACGUCUGUGAACGAUGCCACAAACUGGCAUGAGCAUCAGUAGGCCGAAAGGAAGGGGCCCAGGCAGUGCACACGUGCAUAUGUGCAUGUACGUGUGGGUAUGUGCGUGUGUGUAUGGGUGUGACUGGGUGUGUGUGUAUGCGUGUGUAUGUGUGUUUUACAUCACCUAACCGGGUUCCGAUACCUGACCAAGGGGCAGCUACUGGACCUGACACUGACCAGGGAUGCAGGGUCCCUGCCCUGACGGAGGGCAGCAGUCGUCAGCAGUCUAGUCGCUCUCCGACACAGGAAGAGAGGGCCUUGAGGGGUGGGCUGCUGACCCCAUCGUGGCGAGUGCACCUACCGUGUAUACACGUAUGUUGUUACAGGGUGGUUAACUUCGCCAACGGCCCCCUUUCCCGAGGCAGUCCCUGCUCUCCCCUGCUAGAGGGGCACCCUAAUCCGUAUGUAUGUAUGAAUAGGACCCCAUGCGUGGUCAACCCCGGAAGCACCUACUCCUCAAGCCCCGAUUUGCUGGAAAACUCCUGAACCCCUACGCCGCGUUACGUCGGUCUAUCUGUAUGUAUGCAUGUAUGAGCGCGCGGCUCAGGCUCCUCAUGAGCUCCUCGCGAAUAGGUCGCAUGUACCACUACAGUGGUAGGUCCACCGCCAGAAAGUCCGGCGGUACCCGGGGGCACUUCCAGGGACCCCGCCUUGCGAGUUCGCAAGGAAGCAAAGCAAAGCAAAGCGAAGGCUGAAGAAAUUAGAGGUGGAGCAGAUUAGAGAGGUCAGCCAUGGUGGCCGCAGUCGGCAGCUGAAGCCCGGUCAGUGAAACCCUUCGACCCGGGUACACAAUUACAAGGAUUCGUGUUCCUAAGCAAUUCCUAGUUCUAGUACCCCAUUGCUAAGUCCCGCUCCGCCUACCACAAAUCAAAGCGUGGGCACAAAAAGCACGGCAUUCUCGACAGAUGCCCAUUUACCAUCUGUACCUGAACAUGCGUGCAUGGUUCAGCAUGCAUGAGACAUGUGCAUACACGCAUAUGCACAACGGUGCAGCAUGCGGGGAACCCCGACCCCGAUCGGGCCCGAGUGCCCGAGAAGCACACCAUGUUGACACUACCCUAGCUACCGGCCUGUACGGAUGCCCCCGCGGGGCCCCCGCCCUAUUUCCAACUUCAAGGAAGCCAACACCCGACUUGUCUCUUCCGUGUAUAUUCUUGAGUACUAGAACGUUUCCAUUGUACUAUGUCCCUAACCUAACUUGUGGUUCUUAGGCUCUUGGACCUCUGGCUCGUACGGGCCUGUCACACCUCUCUGGGUAAUUUGCAAAGGCCGGCUGGAGACCAGCUUCCUCCAGAGAUGUGACUCAACAUUUCCUAGGUGCGUGGAGCACACAAACAAGUCGCCACAAUCAAUCGUCUGGUGCCGAUAGACGGGGGCAAAACUUGAUGAGGGGUGUGUUUGUGUGUGUGGUGGGGGAUCACAAUAACUUGGUUAGCAUGGUCCCGACUAUGCCAACCGUACAAAAAGCGGGAGGGUAUCCGGGGUUCUCCCGGGAUACUACCGAGCAUCCAUUCCACCGUUAGAUCACAACGUCGAUUGACUCACGUGCCGGUCGUGGUCCCAUCCAGGAACUUAUCCACGACGACAUGAUGUAUGACGUGUGAGCUCACGUCAACACCUUCCUCCCCCGGGCGAAUAUGUAGCGGUUGUAUUCGUCACACCCAUUUACUAUAAUGGUGGCAAAUGUCCGUACCCCUCAUCAGCUUGCCAGCGUUGGACGCGACGAUGCCUAGCGUGUAGACGGCUUCUGUGCCGGCGUCCCAUCCAGUGCAAGGUUCAGAUAGCACAGUCUCGGAACGCACCACGAAUCAGUCGAGCAAUUCGCACCAUCCAACAACUGAACGGGGGAUUUAAGCGAAGGAUGCCUCAUAUUAUUGUGCAUCUGUCCCUUACUCAUACAUUGAAUUUCAGCUCUAUCCAGAUAAAUCUUUGCAGUGAUCCGCUUGGGGUCUGGUGCUAUAUCUGAAAAUGGCUUUGAGGGUUGUGUUUGGCAUUCUAUUGCUGGUGUUGGUGGCGCAGCAGGCCGCAGCGGGGGGAAGCGGAGGCAAGGAGCGCCGCUGGCCCAAGGAGUUGAAGGAGGAUUUUCAGGUACAUAGGAUAAUCGGUAAAUCGGUAAAUAGAAAAUAGGUAAAUAGGUAAAUAGGUAGGUAGGGAGGUAGGGCUGAUGUACCCAACCUUUACCACUUGACCCGGUCGCCUCACUCCCUCAUUCGCCAUUCCAUGCACCCUUCCCCCCUAGGACACACACACCAUCACACUAAAACACACACGCACGACGCAACCAGGGCCCCACAUGUUCAUGCGUUGCAGUUUGAGCUCCGCAACAUCUACAGCAACCGGCAGAACGGCAGUCGCUACAACUUCCUCACCAAGUACCGCUAUCCCAGCAGCUCUGGUGGGUGCAGUACAUUCGUAGGGAACUGACAAAGCCGUACGGACCAGGCAGGGGGCCACAUUUCGCUCCAUUCGGAGGCAGUGGUGCUGCGCGCCGAAUGCUUUGCCUUCCUGUGUGCUGCAACGCGCUGUGCUGUGCUCGUCUACUGCAGAGGCAUUCGAUUUCCAUGAGGCGGAAGAGAUUAUCCUGAAGUUCGUGCCUGCCGGUGGCAUGGGCAUCAAAGGCGACGCAUUCACUGAAGUCCUUUCCCUCGCCAUCGCUAAGGCGCUCUGGGCGAAGUUUAACCUUGUCGGCUUGAGCUUCCGCAUUGAGGUGCAGGUGUGUGUGGGGCCCUGUGUGCGGGUGAUGGCGGCUAAUGUGAGGCCGCCUCAUCAGCCCCGAUGAUAAGGUUCAGCUAGGUUUACCUAGGGCGAACGAGACCUCGAGAUGCAGAUGCACAGGAUUACGUACGAUUACAAACCAGUCAGGAAGGAUUUAGGACAAUGUGGAUUGAACGGGCGUAGCUGGGACUCGCCAUGCCGCGUGCCGUACCGUGGUACGGCAGAUUGCGCGCAUCUAUGUCCUUCGAGGACUUGCGACGUUUAUUUAAUUUGUAGUACGAUACCGGAGUAAUAAUAUCAGGGGUCGCGACUGCGCCCACAAAUUUUAACGGUGGCAGCGCCCACGCUACACCCAAGCUGACCAUCCCUGUCAAUUCCAAUCAAUACGUAACCGGCGCAGGGUUCGACACUGACUUUCCUGAAACUUGCGGGAUCCCCCGUACCUCCCAAAUUUUCCCUACGGAGGGGCCCCCGUACCAGGCUCCUGUACUGGCCGAAAACCUUACGGGGGCCCCCGUAACCCCGCAAAACCUUUUCGGGGACACUGUCCUUGGCUAAAACGCUGUGGAAAGUGACACUUUGCAUUUUUUGCCCUGUAAAUCGUUAUUUAUGUUAUUUUCCCGUGAACCAUUACACACGGGGGCACGGCACACUCAGCGAAAGCCAAGCGCCUUGGCCGCCGCGGCCGCCCAUCCCUUCUGCUCCUCUUUCGCGUCCUCCUCCUCAUCAACAAAAUCCUCAUCCACGGACGACUCAUCGGUAUCUCGUUCUACGUCGGUCUCGUAGUCACUGUCACUAAAAGCCUCAUCGUCACUAGCGGGAUAUGUUGCUUGUACCAGUACUUCAAUCUCUGGGUCCGUCGCAACCUCCUCGUUAUCAUCCUCUCCGUAUGGAUUCAAAUUAAUUUUGCUAACGUCAGAAAACAACUUGUGAAUAAUGCCUGUAUAACCCUUACGCGAGUAGAUCCCAGUAGCCUGAUCAAUCAGUGGCUUCGCCCCGGUAUCAGCAGCAGGUCCCAACAUGCCCACAUCCAGCUUUAGCCGGUUCGUCAGGCGAUUCUUAAUAAUACGAUGCCGGCUAAAUCCGCGCUCAACACAUGCCGUCUGUGUUGGCAGGAUUGUAGCGACUUGAGCCAAACGCAUCAUACGCUGCCAUCGCUGGAUGUUAAAGACUGGAAGCUAUAAAAGUAUUAUGAAAAGUGAAGUUAAAUAUUGCAAUAUGAAUUAUGCCUACCAAGUGUGUGGCUUUAUCCUUUAUAUGGUCCGUCCUCUCCCCUACAGGGCCCCGUAAGGCCUCUUAUUGUCUGCCAUCGCUGGAUGUUACAGACCAGAAGCUAUAAAAAUAUUAUGAAAAGUGUAGUUACAUAUUGCAAUAUGAAUUAUGCCUGCCAAGUGUGGGGCCUUAUCCUUUAUAUGGUCCGUCCUCUCCCCUACAGGGCCCCGUAAGGCAUCUUAUAAAUCCUUAAAUUUCUUACGGGAGUCACCGUAACCGGCCUUCGCCCUGUUCGGGGUCGGCCCCGUACGGGGCGCUUCGCGCCCCAAAAUCUUUACGGGAGCCACCGCAAAGUCCUACGGACCCGUACGGGGAUACCGAAAAAAGGCCAAAAACUUACGGGCCCCGUACGGGGUGUCGAACACUGAACCGGCGCCAGCUGGUUCACCCACUCUUCGCUUGCAUACUUUUUGGGCCUUUCUGGCUCGGUGCGAGUUUUGUACUUGUACAUACAUGCAGGGUAUGUCGUCGGAUGUCCGGAGUCACUACGCCUCCACCGUCACCGUGGGAGAUAUCGAACCUUGGGUCUCCCUCGUCAACAACUUCCCCGGCUGUGACGGAAUGGAUACGGACGAGGGCAACAAGGCCUGCCGCAUCUAUCCCAUUUUGAACGGCAAGGACCGCGACCUGGCUGCCAUUGCUGCUAAGAAGGCUGGCAAGCACGACAAGCCCAAGUACUGCGACUUCUGCGGCUAAUCGCAUAUCAUGCGAUAAUGCGCAUGGUGGUGAUCCUUCGUUUCUACUAGCGGUACAUCAAGACGUGGAUGAACGUAGCUGCCAGGGUGUGAGGCUUAAUUGUAUGGUCAAGCCGCAUAUGUAUUCUCUUUUGAUGUGUGUGAUCAUAGGCAAGCAUGUGUACGGCGGUAGGGGUGUUACACAUGACGGAAGUCAGUAGAGCAUCAUAGACCAUCAUGCACAUGGGGGAAGAGGCUGGGGGACUCAGUGCAGGUUAGUAUCGGGUCAGUUGCUGUCGGGAGGCGGAUGGUACAGCGCCACCUGCAUGGGUAUAGCUGCACUGAGUGGAAUCAUCAUCUGAAGACAGUGAUGCGGUCAUCAGUUUCCAUUUCCUCUGGAACACAAGCAAACUCGUGGCUUAGUGGCUGUCCGUUGUAAUGAACACGCAAUUCUCUGUCUAGGUACCACAGCUGCCUGAUCUCCCACAAGCAUGCUCUCCGCUUGGCUGCCAAAGCAGGCAGGGAUUCUUUUCAGAACACUGAGUUAGUCCUGGUCGUAGUCGUAGCGGAGCUUGCUGCAUGCCGGACCACUUGUUCUUCCUUUCCAUGUCUGUGUCUAUUACAGCGACAGGCGAUGUGCCCUUUGCGGCAAUAACGGCGUCUAAUUUGAACCAGGGAAGAUUUGGGCAGCGUAAGCCGAAAUAUGAACUGCCAGCAAAAGGAAAGGUGCUGCGUUCUGGUCAGUUGGAUGGCAAGAUGUGAAAUCCGGCCGUCAUCGGCUGUCGUCAAGCCGGCUACAGCCAUGUGCAGCAGUAAUGUGCAGUUAGACAUGCGGCGUGCACGUAGGCUGAAGUGCACGUGUGUGAACGAUGCCACAAACUGGCAUGAAUAUCAGUAGGCCGAAAGGAAGGGGCCCAGGCAGUGCGCACGCGCAUGUGUGUAUGUACGUAUGUGCGUGCGUGUGUGUAUGGGUGUGACUGGGUGUGUGUGUGUGCGUGUGUAUGUGUGUUUUACAUCACCUAACCGGGUUCUGAUACCUGACCAAGGGGCAGCUACUGGACCUGACACUGACCAGGGAUGCAGGGUCCCUGCCCUGACGGAGGGCAGCAGUCGUCAGCAGUCUAGUCGCUCUCCGACACAGGAAGAGAGGGCCUUGAGGGGUGGGCUGCUGACCCCAUCGUGGCGAGUGCACCUACCGUGUAUACACGUAUGUUAUUACAGGGUGGUUAACUUCGCCAACGGCCCCCUUUCCCGAGGCAGUCCCUGCUCUCCCCUGCUAGAGGGGCACCCUAAUCCGUAUGUAUGUAUGAAUAGGACCCCAUGCGUGGUCAACCCCGGAAGCACCUACUCCUCAAGCCCCGAUUUGCUGGAAAACUCCUGAACCCCUACGCCGCGUUACGUCGGUCUAUCUGUAUGUAUGCAUGUAUGAGCGCGCGGCUCAGGCUCCUCAUGAGCUCCUCGCGAAUAGGUCGCAUGUACCACUACAGUGGUAGGUCCACCGCCAGAAAGUCCGGCGGUACCCGGGGGCACUUCCAGGGACCCCGCCUUGCGAGUUCGCAAGGAAGCAAAGCAAAGCAAAGCGAAGGCUGAGGACAUUAGAGGUGGAGCAGAUUAGACAGGUCAGCCAUGGUGGCCGCAGUCGGCAGCUGAAGCCCGGUCAGUGAAACCCUUCGACCCGGGUACACAAUUACAAGGAUUCGUGUUCCUAAGCAAUUCCUAGUUCUAGUACCCCAUUGCUAAGUCCCGCUCCGCCUACCACAAAUCAAAGCGUGGGCACAAAAAGCACGGCAUUCUCGACAGAUGCCCAUUUACCAUCUGUACGUGAACAUGCAUGCAUGGUUCAGCAUGCAUGAGACAUGUGCAUACACGCAUAUGCACAACGGUGCAGCAUGCGGGGAACCCCGACCCCGAUCGGGCCCGAGUGCCCGAGAAGCACACCACGUUGACACUACCCUAGCCACCGGCCUGUACGGAUGCCCCCGCGGGGCCCCCGCCCUAUUUCCAGCUUCAAGGAAGCCGACACCCGACUUGUCUCUUCCGUGUAUAUUCUUGAGUACUAGAACGUUUCCAUUGUACUAUGUCCCUAACCUAACUUGUGGCUCUUAGGCUCUUGGACCUCUGGCUCGUACGGGCCUGUCACACCUCUCUGGGUAAUUUGCAAAGGCCGGCUGGAGACCAGCUUCCUCCAGAGAUGUGACUCAACAUUUCCUAGGUGCGUGGAGCACACAAACAAGUCGCCACAAUCAAUCGUCUGGUGCCGAUAGACGGGGGCAAAACUUGAUGAGGGGUGUGUUUGUGUGUGUGGUGGGGGAUCACAAUAACUUGGUUAGCAUGGUCCCGACUAUGCCAACCGUACAAAAAGCGGGAGGGUAUCCGGGGUUCUCCCGGGAUACUACCGAGCAUCCAUUCCACCGUUAGAUCACAACGUCGAUUGACUCACGUGCCGGUCGUGGUCCCAUCCAGGAACUUAUCCACGACGACAUGAUGUAUGACGUGUGAGCUCACGUCAACACCUUCCUCCCCCGGGCGAAUAUGUAGCGGUUGUAUUCGUCACACCCAUUUACUAUAAUGGUGGCAAAUGUCCGUACCCCUCAUCAGCUUGCCAGCGUUGGACGCGACGAUGCCUAGCGUGUAGACGGCUUCUGUGCCGGCGUCCCAUCCAGUGCAAGGUUCAGAUAGCACAGUCUCGGAACGCACCACGAAUCAGUCGAGCAAUUCGCACCAUCCAACAACUGAACGGGGGAUUUAAGCGAAGGAUGCCUC